rfam:TPA: Bos taurus chromosome 22, whole genome shotgun sequence.
UCCCUGGUAGCUUGGACGGUAAAGAAUCUGCCUUCAAGGCAGGAGACCCGGGUUCAAUGCCUGGGUUGGGAA